AGCGGCGAAAGGGAGAGUAACGCGUAGUUACCUACCCCAGGGUCCGGAAUAGCUGCGGGAAACUGCAGGUAAUGCCGGAUAAUAUCCCCGGAUCAAAGGCGAGAUUCCGCCCUGGGAGGGGACUGCGUCCUACUAGCUUGUUGGUGGGGUAACGGCCUACCAAGGCUACGAUGGGUAGCGGGCGUGAGAGCGUGGCCCGUCUCACUGGGACUGAGACACUGCCCAGACACCUACGGGUGGCUGCAGUCGAGAAUCUUCGGCAAUGGGCGAAAGCCUGACCGAGCGAUGCCGCGUGCGGGAUGAAGGCCUUCGGGUUGUAAACCGCUGUCAGUUGGGAGGAAGGCUCUGUGAAGAGCAGAGUUUGACCUAUCUUCAGAGGAAGUACGGGCUAAGUUCGUGCCAGCAGCCGCGGUAACACGAACCGUACGAACGU
rnacentral:rRNA from 1 species